GCCGGCUUAGCUCAGCUGGUAGAGCAGCGGUCUUGUAAACCGAAGGUCGGGGGUUCGAAUCCCUCAGCCGGCACCA
rnacentral:tRNA from 2 species